UGGGGAAUAUUGCACAAUGGGCGCAAGCCUGAUGCAGCCAUGCCGCGUGUAUGAAGAAGGCCUUCGGGUUGUAAAGUACUUUCAGUCGGGAGGAAGGUGUCAAGGUUAAUAACCUUGGCAAUUGACGUUACCGACAGAAGAAGCACCGGCUAACUCCGUGCCAGCAGCCGCGGUAAUACGGAGGGUGCAAGCGUUAAUCGGAAUUACUGGGCGUAAAGCGCACGCAGGCGGUUGAUUGAGUCAGAUGUGAAAUCCCCGGGCUUAACCCGGGAAUUGCAUCUGAUACUGGUCAGCUAGAGUCUUGUAGAGGGGGGUAGAAUUCCAUGUGUAGCGGUGAAAUGCGUAGAGAUGUGGAGGAAUACCGGUGGCGAAUGCGGCCCCCUGGACAAGGACUGACGCUCAGGUGCGAAAGCGUGGGGAGCAAACAGG
rnacentral:rRNA from 1 species